CGUCGGCGAUGGUGGAAGACACGUGGCAACAGUACAGUGGUCGACCGUCCAGAGUGGGUUGGUGUAGUGCGUCCGGCCGAGCGCGCACUGGUAUAGUGGAGACGUGCGUUCGGCUGAGUGGAGCACUCACCUCUUAAUUUAAUUCUGAUAGAUCUCUCUCUUCACCCUCUUUCCUUCAGUUUCUCAGAUUCAAUUCUCUCCUCCUUCUCUCUUCACUCUCUGCACCCUUCUCUCUCUAAGAAACCACCACUGCACCUCCUCCAUUCCACACUCCGGCAAGAUUGAAGGACGCUCGGCGUAGGAGUUCCAGAGAGAACGUUCGACUGGUGAAGCUGUGGAUUAACGAGCGCUUGUUAUUGGAAUUUGAGUAGAGAAUCUGUGAACGUUCGUCAUUUCCGGAGGGAGAUGAGCGUUUGGAAGAAGCAUUGAAUGAAGAGAGCCUGGUUGAUGUUGAAGUGAAGAUCGAGCAGUGAGAUCGCUCGGCCAGUAUUGUAUUUAGUUGAAUUGAGUGGUCGUUCGACCAUCUCUUGUUUUCUUUUGAGUUAAUUCGACCGU